rnacentral:rRNA from 1 species
CACGUAGGCGGACUGUUAAGUCGGGGGUGAAAUCCCGGGGCUCAACCCCGGAACUGCCUUCGAUACUGGCAGUCUAGAGUUCGAGAGAGGUGAGUGGAAUUCCGAGUGUAGAGGUGAAAUUCGUAGAUAUUCGGAGGAACACCAGUGGCGAAGGCGGCUCACUGGCUCGAUACUGACGCUGAGGUGCGAAAGUGUGGGGAGCAAACA